CCUCAUGGACCUGGAUUGUGCUCUGUUUCCCCUUCCCUACUGGAUCGGAAGUCCUCAAGGGCAAAGACUGCUGCUUUCUGGCCCCGAUGAGAAUGCACCCAGUACUCCUGCCUACACGUGCUGCAUAAGCUGGCAUGGGUGCUGAUCUGCCAGUCUGAGAAUGAAGAAUGAUAUGCUUAUUGUAGAAAAUUUUGCACAAAGAUAAAGAGUCCAAGUCUGAGAUAUAAAGAAGAGGGAAAAGGUCUCCCAGAAUCCAUCUUGCUGCUCAGGGGCACUGCCGGGGACCCGUGAACCCCAGACCCUGAAGGGCCGCCUGCG